rnacentral:rRNA from 1 species
AUUGAACGCUGGCGGCAGGCCUAACACAUGCAAGUCGAACGGUAACAGGAAGAAGCUUGCUUCUUUGCUGACGAGUGGCGGACGGGUGAGUAAUGUCUGGGAAACUGCCUGAUGGAGGGGGAUAACUACUGGAAACGGUAGCUAAUACCGCAUAACGUCGCAAGACCAAAGAGGGGGACCUUCGGGCCUCUUGCCAUCGGAUGUGCCCAGAUGGGAUUAGCUAGUAGGUGGGGUAACGGCUCACCUAGGCGACGAUCCCUAGCUGGUCUGAGAGGAUGACCAGCCACACUGGAACUGAGACACGGUCCAGACUCCUACGGGAGGCAGCAGUGGGGAAUAUUGCACAAUGGGCGCAAGCCUGAUGCAGCCAUGCCGCGUGUAUGAAGAAGGCCUUCGGGUUGUAAAGUACUUUCAGCGGGGAGGAAGGGAGUAAAAGGUUUAAAUAACCUUUGCUCAUUGACGUUACCCGCAGAAGAGCACCGGCU